UUUACGUAAACAGACACUAGUACAUCUCAUAAUCAAUGUAUGGAGGCUUCCACAACAAGCACUCAAUAAACAUAGCAGAAAGUUGAAGACUGCAAUAUGAUUUGACAUUCCAUCAUGCAUCCCGGAGACAAAGGUCCACAUAGGAAUGUGAAAUUUACUCAUUUCCAGAAGAUGCUGUUUACCUCAAUUCUGGAUCUGAUCCACCAUCUUGUCUAGAUUCAGAUGAAAGAUAUACAACUUUAACUGGGCCAGAGGCUGUGUUUGGUCUUUAACCAGCAUGUAAGUGACCGCUUUCUGGAAAACAAAGGAUAAGAUCAAGAUAAAAGUUUAAUUUUAAUUCAACCAGAUAC